rnacentral:rRNA from 1 species
GGGUACACGAGUGGCGAACGGGUGAGUAACACGUGAGUAACCUGCCCUUGACUUCGGGAUAACUUCAGGAAACUGGGGCUAAUACCGGAUAGGAAUCCUUGCUGCAUGGUGGGGGUUGGAAAGCUUCGGCGGUUUUGGAUGGACUCGCGGCUUAUCAGCUUGUUGGUGGGGUAGUGGCUUACCAAGGCUUUGACGGGUAGCCGGCCUGAGAGGGCGACCGGCCACAUUGGGACUGAGAUACGGCCCAG